rnacentral:rRNA from 1 species
GACGAACGCUGGCGGCGUGCUUAACACAUGCAAGUCGAGCGGUAAGGCCCUUUCGGGGGUACACGAGCGGCGAACGGGUGAGUAACACGUGGGUGACCUGCCCUCAGCUCUGGGAUAAGCCUGGGAAACCGGGUCUAAUACUGGAUAUGACUCCAUGACGCAUGUUGUGGGGUGGAAAGCCUUGUGCGGCUGAGGAUGGGCCCGCGGCCUAUCAGCUUGUUGGUGGGGUGCUGGCCUACCAAGGCGACGACGGGUAGCCGGCCUGAGAGGGCGACCGGCCACACUGGGACUGAGACACGGCCCAGACUCCUACGGGAGGCAGCAGUGGGGAAUCUUGCGCAAUGGGCGAAAGCCUGACGCAGCGACGCCGCGUGAGGGAUGACGGCCUCGG